UACGGGGGGGGUAAGCGUUGUUCGGAAUUACUGGGCGUAAAGGGCUCGUAGGCGGCCAACUAAGUCGGACGUGAAAUCCCUCAGCUUAACUGGGGAACUGCGUCCGAUACUGGAUGGCUUGGAUUUGGGAGAGGGAUGCGGAAUUCCUGGUGUAGCGGUGAAAUGCGCAGAUAUCAGGAGGAACACCAGCGGCGAAGGCGGCGCUCUGGGCUGGAACUGACGCUGAGGAGCGAAAGCGUGGGGAGCGAACAGG
rnacentral:rRNA from 1 species